rnacentral:rRNA from 1 species
GACGAGCCACCCGAACGUUAUUCGGAAUCACUGGGCUUAAAGGGUGCGUAGGCGGCGGCGCAAGUUGGGCGUGGAAUCCCUCGGCUUAACCGGGGAACUGCAUCUGAUACUGGAUGGCUUGAGAUUGGGAGAGGGAUGCGGAAUUCCAGGUGUAGCGGUGAAAUGCGUAGAUAUCAGGAGGAACACCGGUGGCGAAGGCGGUUCUCUGGGCAUGUCCUGACGCUGAGGAGCGAAAGUGUGGGGAGCGAACAGG